AGUGGCGCACGGGUGAGUAACACGUAGGUAAUCUACCCCCAAAUUAGGAAUAACCCCCCGAAAGGAGGGCUAAUACUGGAUAAUAUCCUGUCGGCGCAAGCAGAUGGGAUUAAAGGUGGCCUCUGCAUGCAAGCUACUGUUUGGGGAUGAGCCUGCGGACCAUUAGCUAGUUGGUAGGGUAAUGGCCUACCAAGGCAACGAUGGUUAGCUGGUCUGAGAGGACGACCAGCCACACUGGAACUGGAACACGGUCCAGACUCCUACGGGAGGCAGCAGUGAGGAAUAUUGCGCAAUGGGGGAAACCCUGACGCAGCGACGUCGCGUGGGUGAAGAAGGCCUUCGGGUCGUAAAGCCCUGUCGAGCGGGAAGAAAUCCCUACCAACUAAUAAUUGGGAGGGUUGACGGUACCGCUGAAGGAAGCACAGGCUAACUCCGUGCCAGCAGCCGCGGUAAGACGGAGGGUGCGAGCGUUAUUCGGAAUUACUGGGCGUAAAGGGCGCGUAGGCGGUCAGGUAAGUCAGAUGUGAAAGCCCUCGGCUCAACCGAGGAAGUGCAUCUGAAACUGCUUGACUUGAGUACGGGAGAGGAAAGUGGAAUUCUCGGUGUAGAGGUGAAAUGCGUAGAGAU
rnacentral:rRNA from 1 species